GAUCCUCUGAAAAACGCGGGUUCACGCGUCGACCCCCUGCGGGUCUCUCCAUCGAAGUUCAAAUUAUCGAAAUACAACUAUUCCACCGACCUGCCGAAAGUUAACAACGACGCAAUUGUACGGAAGCCGUAUGUUGAAUACAAAUUGCCAGAUAUUGACCCAGUUACUGGACGGCCCCGGAGAAAAUACCAAAGAAAACCACCGCCGGAAAAUCAACCGAAGCCUCCCCCAAAGCCUAAACCAGCUGAGGAAGUUAAAGAAAUUGUAAUUGAUGAAUUGUUUUUUCUUCGAUUUGUAUGAAAAAGCCGACAGAAGUUCCAAUCGCGACAUACGAAGGGUAUUCAGCCACGGGAACUAUUAAGCGUACAUUAGUGUUGCAAUACGGAAAGUCUUACUGAGCUCAAAUAGCAUCAAAGAUGCGCUGUUCCAAUGCCCGAGCGUAUUCGACAAAAUUCUUCUCAACAUGAACGAGACCAUUUACCAUUGAACUAUGAUUAACCAUUCAAGUAUUCUAUGUAUUGUGUAUUGUUUUACUAAGUUAUUUC